AGGGAAGGGCAGAAGGCUAACUGCUCAUUCUCAGCAAAGAAGUUAUCGAUGUUCUUGUUUAACACCAUUCGACCCACCGGCUGCAACGGGAAGAUGUCCUCUGGCCAUGUCUUGGUUACAUCAAGUGGGUCAAAAUCAAACCUGUCCUCAUGAAGAGGAUCCAUUAUUUGAAUGAACAGCUUCCAUUCAGGGUAGUUUCCGGCUGCAAUCGAGUCAUAAAGAUCUUGUGUGGCAUGACUGUGAUUCGCGCCACCUACUCUUAUGGCUUCAUCCUCCAACAAAGAUUUUACACCACAAGUGGGUUUCCAAUGGAAUUUCACAUAGUGUGACUUCCCAGCUUUGUUGAUUAGUGUGUAGGUAUGAACACCAGAGCCAUCC
rnacentral:lncRNA from 1 species